GCUGUAGCUCAGUGGGUAGAGCAUCUGCUUUGCAUGCAGAAAGUCUCAGGUUCAAUCAUCACCAUCUCGAGUUAGGGCU